AGAACGAACACUGGCGGCAGGCCUAACACAUGCAAGUCGAGCGCUGUAGCAAUACAGAGCGGCGCACGGGUGAGUAACACGUGGGAACGUGCCCUUUGGUUCGGAAUAACUCAGGGAAACUUGAGCUAAUACCGGAUGAGCCCUAACGGGGAAAGAUUUAUCGCCGAAGGAGCGGCCCGCGUUGGAUUAGCUAGUUGGUGGGGUAAAAGCCUACCAAGGCGACGAUCCAUAGCUGGUUUGAGAGAACGACCAGCCACACUGGGACUGAGACACGGCCCAGACUCCGUACGGGACGGCAGCGAGGUGGGGAAUCGUUGGUACAAGGUACGGGGGAAACCCUGACGUCCACGCCAUCGCCGCGGUGAGUGA
rnacentral:rRNA from 1 species